rnacentral:misc_RNA from 1 species
CAACCCUCAGGCCCCCCGCACUCGCGGCGACGGGCCUGGCGUUGGGGAUCGGCCGCUGCCUCCGGGCGGCCUGGCCGGCCCCGAAACCUAGUGGCGGUCUCGCUGUAGCCUCCUCUGCGUAGUAGCACACCUCGCACCGGAAAGCAGCAGGGCCACGCCGUAAAACCCCCGACUUUUUUAA